UACAGAGGGGGCAAGCGUUGUUCGGAAUUACUGGGCGUAAAGGGCUCGUAGGUGGCCAACUAAGUCAGACGUGAAAUCCCUCAGCUUAACUGGGGAACUGCGUCUGAUACUGGAUGGCUUGAGUUUGGGAGAGGGAUGCGGAAUUCCAGGUGUAGCGGUGAAAUGCGUAGAUAUCGGGAGGAACACCAGUGGCGAAGGCGGUUGCCUGGAGCUUUGCUGACGCUGAUGCGCGAAAGCGUGGGGAGCGAUCCGG
rnacentral:rRNA from 1 species